AUUGAACGCUGGCGGCAGGCCUAACACAUGCAAGUCGAACGGUAACAGGAAGAAGCUUGCUUCUUUGCUGACGAGUGGCGGGCGGGUGAGUAAUGUCUGGGAAACUGCCUGCUGGAGGGGGAUAACUACUGGAAACGGUAGCUACUACCGCAUAACGUCGCAAGCCCAAAGAGGGGGACCUUCGGGCCUCUUGCCGUCGGAUGUGCCCAGAUGGGAUUAGCUAGUAGGUGGGGUAACGGCUCACCUAGGCGACGAUCCCUAGCUGGUCUGAGAGGAUGACCAGCCACACUGGAACUGAGACACGGUCCAGACUCCUACGGGAGGCAGCAGUGGGGAAUAUUGCACAAUGGGCGCAAGCCUGAUGCAGCCAUGCCGCGUGUAUGAAGAAGGCCUUCGGGUUGUAAAGUACUUUCAGCGGGGAGGAAGGGAGUAAAGUUAAUACCUUUGCUCAUUGACGUUACCCGCAGAAGAAGCACCGGCUAACUCCGUG
rnacentral:rRNA from 1 species